rnacentral:rRNA from 1 species
UCAGCGGAAAAGGAGCUUGCUACUUUGCCGGCGAGCGGCGGACGGGUGAGUAAUGUCUGGGGAUCUGCCUGAUGGAGGGGGAUAACUACUGGAAACGGUAGCUAAUACCGCAUAACCUCGCAAGAGCAAAGUGGGGGACCUUCGGGCCUCACGCCAUCGGAUGAACCCAGAUGGGAUUAGCUAGUAGGUGGGGUAAUGGCUCACCUAGGCGACGAUCCCUAGCUGGUCUGAGAGGAUGACCAGCCACACUGGAACUGAGACACGGUCCAGACUCCUACGGGAGGCAGCAGUGGGGAAUAUUGCACAAUGGGCGCAAGCCUGAUGCAGCCAUGCCGCGUGUGUGAAGAAGGCCUUCGGGUGUAAAGCACUCAGCAGAACGUA